CAUGUGGUUUAAUUCGAAGAUACGCGAAAAACCUUACCAGGUCUUGACAUACCAAUGAUCGCUUUUGUAAUGAAAGCUUUUCUUCGGAACAUUGGAUACAGGUGGUGCAUGGUCGUCGUCAGCUCGUGUCGUGAGAUGUUGGGUUAAGUCCCGCAACGAGCGCAACCCUUGUUAUUAGUUGCCAGCAUUUAGUUGGGCACUCUAAUGAGACUGCCGGUGAUAAACCGGAGGAAGGUGGGGACGACGUCAGAUCAUCAUGCCCCUUAUGACCUGGGCAACACACGUGCUACAAUGGGAAGUACAACGAGUCGCAAACCGGCGACGGCAAGCUAAUCUCUUAAAACUUCUCUCAGUUCGGACUGGAGUCUGCAACUCGACUCCACGAAGGCGGAAUCGCUAGUAAUCGCGAAUCAGCAUGUCGCGGUGAAUACGUUCCCGGGC
rnacentral:rRNA from 1 species